UAACGAAGUGGUUGAUGCCAUGCUUCCAAGAAAAGCUUCUAAGCUUCAGGUAACCAGGAACCGUACCCCAAACCGACACAGGUGGUUGGGUAGAGAAUACCAAGGCGCUUGAGAGAACUCGGGUGAAGGAACUAGGCAAAAUGGCACCGUAACUUCGGGAGAAGGUGCGCCGGUGAGGGUGAAGGACUUGCUCCGUAAGCUCAUGCCGGUCGAAGAUACCAGGCCGCUGCGACUGUUUAUUAAAAACACAGCACUCUGCAAACACGAAAGUGGACGUAUAGGGUGUGACGCCUGCCCGGUGCCGGAAGGUUAAUUGAUGGGGUUAGCUAACGCGAAGCUCUUGAUCGAAGCCCCGGUAAACGGCGGCCGUAACUAUAACGGUCCUAAGGUAGCGAAAUUCCUUGUCGGGUAAGUUCCGACCUGCACGAAUGGCGUAACGAUGGCGGCGCUGUCUCCACCCGAGACUCAGUGAAAUUGAAAUCGCUGUGAAGAUGCAGUGUAUCCGCGGCUAGACGGAAAGACCCCGUGAACCUUUACUAUAGCUUUGCACUGGACUUUGAAUUUGCUUGUGUAGGAUAGGUGGGAGGCUUUGAAGCGUGGACGCCAGUCUGCGUGGAGCCAACCUUGAAAUACCACCCUGGCAACUUUGAGGUUCUAACUCAGGUCCGUUAUCCGGAUCGAGGACAGUGUAUGGUGGGUAGUUUGACUGGGGCGGUCUCCUCCUAAAGAGUAACGGAGGAGUACGAAGGUGCGCUCAGACCGGUCGGAAAUCGGUCGUAGAGUAUAAAGGCAAAAGCGCGCUUGACUGCGAGACAGACACGUCGAGCAGGUACGAAAGUAGGUCUUAGUGAUCCGGUGGUUCUGUAUGGAAGGGCCAUCGCUCAACGGAUAAAAGGUACUCCGGGGAUAACAGGCUGAUACCGCCCAAGAGUUCAUAUCGACGGCGGUGUUUGGCACCUCGAUGUCGGCUCAUCACAUCCUGGGGCUGAAGCCGGUCCCAAGGGUAUGGCUGUUCGCCAUUUAAAGUGGUACGCGAGCUGGGUUUAGAACGUCGUGAGACAGUUCGGUCCCUAUCUGCCGUGGACGUUUGAGAUUUGAGAGGGGCUGCUCCUAGUACGAGAGGACCGGAGUGGACGAACCUCUGGUGUUCCGGUUGUCACGCCAGUGGCAUUGCCGGGUAGCUAUGUUCGGAAUAGAUAACCGCUGAAAGCAUCUAAGCGGGAAACUAGCCUCAAGAUGAGAUCUCACUGGAACCUUGAGUUCCCUGAAGGGCCGUCGAAGACUACGACGUUGAUAGGUUGGGUGUGUAAGCGCUGUGAGGCGUUGAGCUAACCAAUACUAAUUGCCCGUGAGGCUUGACCAUAUAACACCCAAGCAAUU
rnacentral:rRNA from 1 species